rnacentral:lncRNA from 1 species
UUUAGACUUUUUAUAGUUCAGCAUGGGAUGAUGGAAAAUUCAAUUUCUAAAAAGAUAGCAAGAUUUGUAAUACAACAUUUCUCUCAACCAGAAAAUUACAGAAAGUUAGAACAGUGGGGUUUCUGCCAUGCAAUAAUGGCAGAAAUAGGUUUCGAAGAUCUGCACGAAAUCCAAUUAAUAAGGAAAAUAGCUGAAAUAUAUACUGAGAUCAAACUACAUUCAUAUGCAAAACAUUUAAUCUUGCCGAUGCAGAGGAAUACAGCAUCUACGAGACAGAAAUUGAACAAGGGAAUUUUUUUCAGUAAUGUAUAAAGAAAGCGUUAUUAAAAGUUUAAACUUCAUACAGUUAAUAUCAAAUAAAAGGCUAGC